rnacentral:rRNA from 1 species
CACACUAUCAUUAACUGAAUCCAUAGGUUAAUGAGGCGAACCGGGGGAACUGAAACAUCUAAGUACCCCGAGGAAAAGAAAUCAACCGAGAUUCCCCCAGUAGCGGCGAGCGAACGGGGAGCAGCCCAGAGCCUGAAUCAGUGUGUGUGUUAGUGGAAGCGUCUGGAAAGGCGUGCGAUACAGGGUGACAGCCCCGUACACAAAAAUGCACAUAUUGUGAGCUCGAUGAGUAGGGCGGGACACGUGGUAUCCUGUCUGAAUAUGGGGGGACCAUCCUCCAAGGCUAAAUACUCCUGACUGACCGAUAGUGAACCAGUACCGUGAGGGAAAGGCGAAAAGAACCCCGGCGAGGGGAGUGAAAAAGAACCUGAAACCGUGUACGUACAAGCAGUGGGAGCACGCUUAGGCGUGUGACUGCGUACCUUUUGUAUAAUGGGUCAGCGACUUAUAUUCUGUAGCAAGGUUAACCGAAUAGGGGAGCCGAAGGGAAACCGAGUCUUAACUGGGCGUUAAGUUGCAGGGUAUAGACCCGAAACCCGGUGAUCUAGCCAUGGGCAGGUUGAAGGUUGGGUAACACUAACUGGAGGACCGAACCGACUAAUGUUGAAAAAUUAGCGGAUGACUUGUGGCUGGGGGUGAAAGGCCAAUCAAACCGGGAGAUAGCUGGUUCUCCCCGAAAGCUAUUUAGGUAGCGCCUCGUGAAUUCAUCUCCGGGGGUAGAGCACUGUUUCGGCAAGGGGGUCAUCCCGACUUACCAACCCGAUGCAAACUGCGAAUACCGGAGAAUGUUAUCACGGGAGACACACGGCGGGUGCUAACGUCCGUCGUGAAGAGGGAAACAACCCAGACCGCCAGCUAAGGUCCCAAAGUCAUGGUUAAGUGGGAAACGAUGUGGGAAGGCCCAGACAGCCAGGAUGUUGGCUUAGAAGCAGCCAUCAUUUAAAGAAAGCGUAAUAGCUCACUGGUCGAGUCGGCCUGCGCGGAAGAUGUAACGGGGCUAAACCAUGCACCGAAGCUGCGGCAGCGACGCUUAUGCGUUGUUGGGUAGGGGAGCGUUCUGUAAGCCUGUGAAGGUGUGCUGUGAGG